ensembl:lncRNA
GUGGGAAGCCAGUGCGGGCUCAAAUAUAAAGUAAGAGGAGAGCUGUUGGAGAGAGGGUCUGCAGAGAAGCACACAGGCUCAGAGGGUCUGCAGAGAAGCACACAGGCUCAGCGGGCAGCAGCUGCAGGGCUGUGAACAAAACAGCAACUGGAGCAUGAAGAAUUUGCCUCCUCUUCCUCGGCUGCCACGCCUCAGGCCUGGUGUGUGCAGCGGCCCACCUCAGUGCUCUCAGGCAGCCGGCGCCCGCCUGCGGAGACUUCAGACAGGGACGGAGUGAAGGACUGAGGGAAACCAGAGCCAUAACCCAUCGAGGGGUGACAGCCUCAGUGAGCUGCAAUGGCAUCCUCCUGCCCACAGGAGCUGGAGGUCUCCAGGCCCUGCACCGACCACCUCCGAAAGCACGAGCACCACCUCUGUGUUGGUGGAGGUGCUGUGGGGUCAGGGCCCCUCUGAGGAGGAGAGAACCAGGGUGAGGAUGUACCUGUACAUUUCUUUCCUAACUGAUGGGCAGCAGUGCAGCAUGCACCUUUGAAAUGCUAAGAUAGCAAUGGAUCUGAAAGCCUGCCCAGAUGGCAAGUGACUUAAGCAGGGGUCUCGUGUGCGCUGGCUGUUUGGGAGUUCAGGUGUGUAACUCACCCUCAGAGACCAGACAUGAGCUCAGCCCACAGCAGACAGACGUGCAGGCUUUGCCAGAAAGGUUAUUCUGCCCCGCAAGGCCAGAGCCACAUGUGCCACUUUACAUUUGAAACAGCUUAUCCCACACCACAGCCGGCAUCACUUCACAGCUGAACUGACCCGAGGGCACAGGAAGAAGAGGAGCCUCCAAUGGAAAGAGCCUCCCGGCCCCAUCACCUGUUCAUUUUCAUUCUGUCCAGCCCACUGUGUCCAGGUCUGUUGUGAGGGCCAUCGGCAGCACGGCACAGGAGGUGAUUCUGUGUUCCGUGAAAACACUGGCCUGAGAUGUUGCUUUCUGGCCUCAAUCCUGCCCUGUUCAGUGCUCAGAAUUUGCUCUACAACCAACAAGAGGCCCCACAGAGUAAGCUGCUCACAGGAAUGCAAGCUGUGCAAAGCAGAAGUAAUGCCAGGUAAUAGCUGUCAGUUGGUUUUCUCUUUCUCUUAUCACUCACUUUCUCAUACAUCCUGGGCAUCCUGUAUUGGUGAAUAAUUUGGGGUGUCAGAGCUGGCAAGUUUUAUGCCCUUCUUACUAAGUUACAUCAUAUACAAUUUAAACCAGAUGUUUUUCAGCAAGUUUUAGCAAUCUCCAGUUCCUUAGCAGAGAAUAUCUGGGGCUUGCUUAGCAUGCUCUCAGCAGAACCCACCUGCACAGGUGCAGGCACUGAUUUCUUCCUUCUACAAAGGCUAAUCUCUAUUGGCUUGAGCCACCCUAGGCAGGUGGUCAUGCUGGUCAGAUUCAUCUCACAACCCUAGAGCAAGAGGUGGUCUCUAUGCCAGCUUCCUGAUAAAAGGCCAGGUGUUGUUGCUAGACACAACAAGGCAGCUCACUUUCCUGGAACAGGAUGUUCUCUACUUUAUUAUCUGUGAUCCUACGGCUAUGCAUGAUGUUAUGCAUGGUCCUACAGCUCUUUCAGUCCUCAUGUAGAGUGGAUGCUGUAACUCACUUGAAGAAUGCUUUGGAAGGUGUCUUCUUAUAAGCUCUUCUUCUUUUUUUUUUUCAUGGUACAUAUACUAUGCAGUUUGUUAGGGUUUAGUAUUAUUUUUAGUUUUCCGUGACUGGUGUUACCACAGGCUGCCUGUGGUACCUGAUGGGUGUGGGGACUCUGCUUUCUUCUGUGCAUUUAAGGUCUUAAAAACACAUGGAGCUGGAAGCAGUGAUGGUGGUGGAUUACGUAAGCCUUGGAGGGAGGUAUAUUGUUGCAGAGCAGAUAGGCAAAAGGUUGUGGGGACACUGCUAAGCACUGGGAUAUGGUGGGUGUAAAACCAGCACAGAAUAAUCCCAACUUUAAGGCAAAGAGUGGCAAGAGCAUGGAGCAGGGGCUUAGGAGGGGACCCUCAUGGCACAGCAGCACAGUAUUUACUAGAGCUAAAUAGGCUGCUGCUAAGGACAAAGAGACCUAUGCAGGAAAGUGGACUAUGGCAGUGAGCUACUUCAGAGUCUGUCCCCAAGACACUGAGUCUCUGGCAUGUAGUACUGACAUGUCACACCC